UCCGUUUGGAACAACAAACACUAAUAUUGUCAAAUUUCUGGGUUUGUUCACUUUGUUGUUAGAGAAAUCAGGGGAACGAUCUACACAAUCUACAGGUGAAUCAGCUCUCACCUACAGUUAGAGAAAAUUCAACAGCUUGGAGGAUAUGGUGCUUCUCUCUAGUUCUGUUAGAGGUUUGGGGAUUCUCGAUUUCCAUCUUCCCACAUUUUAUCAGCCGUACGUCUCUCUCAGUUCAAAAUAAUGAGCUUUAGUUUGUUGGAGGAAAAUUAGCAAGAAGAUAAGAUCCAAAGCUUGCGUCAAUUUCUAGAACACAUUCUAAUUUGUUGUAAAGAGAAUCGUUCUUGUUUCUUACUUCUAGUCGGCUUAUGGGUCUAUUGGAUGAUUGAGUAUUCUUCUCUUUGGGCUUCUCUUCAUACUGCUCAUCUUCACCUUGCUGCGACUAAUAAUCUGGAAACAUUCUUGAAGCUUCUCUUCAUACUGCUCAUCUUCACCUUGCUGCGACUAAUAAUCUGGAAACAUUCUUGAAGGUAAGUUUGGAUGCUUAUAACUAUGAAUUUAUUUGUGAAAUGCCUCUUUUUUCUCAAAUCUGAACUUGUACUGUAUGUUUACAUAUCAGUUUUUUUUUUCUGUUUUGGUGUUUGUGUGGUUGAGCAUAUUAGUAGUAAGCAUAUAUAUAUGUUGAAUGCCCUAAUGUGAGAACUCUUGUUAGUAUACUUGAUUGAAAAUAAAAUGAGGUGAGAUGAUGACUGUUAUUGUAGAAAAGUGAUUUGCAUCUCAUUCUGUAAAGAAUGGAUUGCAACUGAAUCUUGGAAGCAAGUUGUUGUUUUUAUUGACUUGAAUAGCAGUAGGAAAUAGGAAGAAAAAUUCUCGUUUAAGUGCACUAAUACCACAUGUUAAAUAACUACCAAGUGAAUAAGUAUAUUUCAAAUAACAAUAUUCAUUCUUUGUGCAUGUAGUUUGUUUUUUUCCCAUUCUAUGAUGAAGUCCUUCUGCUUAAACAAGACUAUUUUUUCAUCUUUUCCAUUUAUCCUUAACUUGUCUCCUACUGUCUUGAUUGUAUUUCCACAUUAAUGAAAUGAAAUAGGCCUGCUUCUAGUUGGAUUAAUGUGAAAAUGUGUGCCUAUUAUUUUGUCUCUUGCGAUAGCUUUUGUGAAUGGAAACUAAUAUAGUGUUUCAAGAGAUUUUGGAGUAUGAAAGUUCAUUCUAAAAAUUAAAAAGAGAGCUGAAAGAUUGCUGCAAAAAUGAAUACAAUGUAAUCUUUUAGGACUGAAAGGUUUAGUGUAAGUAAAU